UUUUCCUCCGUUUUCUCUCACAGCUCUCAUUGUCUCCCUCACUUGCUCUCUCUACUGUAACUUGCAGAGAAACAAUAGCAGCCGUGGCCGCCGUGGCCACUCUUCUCCUAACAAGCUUCUUUUUUCUUCUCUUCACGUCUCUUGAAAUCCAGAUUCUGAACCUCUCCUAUCAUUCAACUGAGUCUCCCGACUCAUCCUCGAGAACCUCAACCUCCGCGGCCUUGCCGACGAUUGGCUAGGAUUUGUCUUCCCAGAUCGGCCUUGCUGCAGUCACCACCCCAGAACCAUCACCUCCUUCUUGCCAUCCUCCUCUUUACUCGCACUCCAAAGCCCCAUCCACACCAAAACGUCCCGCCCCCACCACCACAACCUUCACCAAGUCCUCUGCCAGUCCACCGUGUUCGAGCGGAGCACAUAAGGCUCCAGAUCUGAUCUGGGCAUACCAUCAAGCUCCAGAUUCUCUGAACAUGACGCUACAAACAGGGUUGAUUCAAAGAAAUCAAGUCUGGGCUUUGUCAAAAUGUCCUUGGUAGUGAAGCCAGUGUAUUUGAGAAGAAGCUGUCAAUUUUGCUCCUGCUGCGGACUGGCUACCUCAUGGUGGAUUUGAUUGCUGAUGUGGCGGAGAUGGAUUUGAUUGCUGCUGUUUUGAGCAAAUUGAAGAAGUCCAGGGAGAAGGAAAGAAAGACAAGAAAAUAGGAGACAAAAAGUAUAUAUUGUUGAACAAAAAUUGAUUUAUUAAUACUUGUUAAAUAAAAAAUUAAUUUUUUAUUUCCGUAAAGGAACAAGUGGGUCUCACUCUUG